CCCUAUAGAAUUUAAUUUAAUUUUUAAAUUUAUUUAUAAUUUUAAUAAAUAUAUUUAAGAUUAAAUUUGAUUGGGAGGAUUGGUAAAUUUAAUAAACUUUAUUUAAGAUUUAAUUUUGAUAUAAAGAUAAUUUUUUGAAUUAUAAAUUGUAAUUAAAAGAAUAAAUUACCUUAGGGAUAACAGCGUAAUAUCUUUUGAUAGACCAUAUAGAUAAAGAUGUUUGCGACCUCGAUGUUGAAUUAAGAUGAAAAUUAGGCGCAGUAGUUUAAGUUUUUAAGUCUGUUCG
rnacentral:rRNA from 1 species